rnacentral:rRNA from 1 species
GACGAACGCUGGCGGCGUGCUUAACACAUGCGAGUCGAACGAAGAGCGACGGAAGCUUGCUUCUAUCAAUCUUAGUGGCGAACGGGUGAGUAACGCGUAAUCAACCUGCCCUUCAGAGGGGGACAACAGUUGGAAACGACUGCUAAUACCGCAUACGAUCUAAUCUCGGCAUCGAGGAUGGAUGAAAGGUGGCCUCUACAUGUAAGCUAUCACUGAAGGAGGGGAUUGCGUCUGAUUAGUUAGUUGGAGGGGUAACGGCCCACCAAGGCGAUGAUCAGUAGCCGGACUGAGAGGAUGAACGGCCACAUUGAGACUGAGACACGGCCCAGACUCCUACGGGAGGCAGCAGUGGGGAAUCGUCCGCAAUGGACGAAAGUCUGACGGAGCAACGCCGCGUGAGUGAUGACGGCCUUCGGGUUGUAAAGCUCUGUUAAUCGGGACGAAAGGCCUUCUUGCGAAUAGUGAGAAGGAUUGACGGUACCGGAAUAGAAAGCCACGGCUAACUACGUG